rnacentral:rRNA from 1 species
AGGACGAACGCUGGCGGCGUGCUUAACACAUGCAAGUCGAACGGUGAACCACUUCGGUGGGGGUCAGUGGCGAACGGGUGAGUAACACGUGAGCAACCUGCCCCUGGCUCUGGGAUAACUCCGGGAAACCGGGGCUAAUACCGGAUAUGACACCCUUCUGCAUGGUGGGGUGUGGAAAGAUUCAUCGGCUGGGGAUGGGCUCGCGGCCUAUCAGCUUGUUGGUGGGGUAAUGGCCUACCAAGGCGACGACGGGUAGCCGGCCUGAGAGGGCGACCGGCCACACUGGGACUGAGACACGGCCCAGACUCCUACGGGAGGCAGCAGUGGGGAAUAUUGCGCAAUGGGCGAAAGCCUGACGCAGCAACGCCGCGUGAGGGAUGAAGGCCUUCGGGUUGUAAACCUCUUUCAGCAGGGAAGAAGCGAAAGUGACGGUACCUGCAGAAGAAGCACCGGCUAACUACGUGCCAGCAGCCGCGGUAAUACGUAGGGUGCAAGCGUUGUCCGGAAUGAUUGGGCGUAAAGGGCGCGUAGGCGGCCUGUUAAGUCUGGAGUGAAAGUCCUGCUUUUAAGGUGGGAAUUGCUUUGGAUACUGGCGGGCUGGAGUGCAGGAGAGGUUAGUGGAAUUCCCGGUGUAGCGGUGAAAUGCGUAGAGAUCGGGAGGAACACCAGUGGCGAAGGCGACUAACUGGACUGUAACUGACGCUGAGGCGCGAAAGUGUGGGGAGCAAACAGGAUUAGAUACCCUGGUAGUCCACGCCGUAAACGGUGGGCACUAGAUGUGGGGCUCUUUCCAUGAGUUCCGCGUCGCAGCUAACGCAUUAAGUGCCCCGCCUGGGGAGUACGGCCGCAAGACU